CCUUGAAGACAUUGAAUGAAACCUGUUCUUCUCCAAAUCUCAGUAUCAAUUGCCCAUUCUGAACGUCGAUCAAAGCUCUGCCUGUGGCUAAGAAUGGUCUACCCAGUAUUAAAGGAACAUCUUUAUCCUCUUCCAUAUCCAGAAUCAGAAAGUCUGCUGGGAAUAUGAACUUCUCCACUUUAACCAACACGUCUUCAAUUAUUCCUCGUGGAUGUGUUAAUGAUCUGUCGGCC
rnacentral:lncRNA from 1 species